rnacentral:rRNA from 1 species
GAUGAACGCUGGCGGCGUGCCUAAUACAUGCAAGUCGAGCGAACGGACGAGAAGCUUGCUUCUCUGAUGUUAGCGGCGGACGGGUGAGUAACACGUGGAUAACCUACCUAUAAGACUGGGAUAACUUCGGGAAACCGGAGCUAAUACCGGAUAAUAUUUUGAACCGCAUGGUUCAAAAGUGAAAGACGGUCUUGCUGUCACUUAUAGAUGGAUCCGCGCUGCAUUAGCUAGUUGGUAAGGUAACGGCUUACCAACGCAACGAUGCAUAGCCGACCUGAGAGGGUGAUCGGCCACACUGGAACUGAGACACGGUCCAGACUCCUACGGGAGGCAGCAGUAGGGAAUCUUCCGCAAUGGGCGAAAGCCUGACGGAGCAACGCCGCGUGAGUGAUGAAGGUCUUCGGAUCGUAAAACUCUGUUAUUAGGGAAGAACAUAUGUGUAAGUAACUGUGCACAUCUUGACGGUACCUAAUCAGAAAGCCACGGCUAACUACGUG